GCAUGGUUCGAAAUUGAAAGGCGGCUUCGGCUGUCACUUAUGGAUGGACCCGCGUCGCAUUAGCUAGUUGGUGAGGUAACGGCUCACCAAGGCAACGAUGCGUAGCCGACCUGAGAGGGUGAUCGGCCACACUGGGACUGAGACACGGCCCAGACUCCUACGGGAGGCAGCAGUAGGGAAUCUUCCGCAAUGGACGAAAGUCUGACGGAGCAACGCCGCGUGAGUGAUGAAGGCUUUCGGGUCGUAAAACUCUGUUGUUAGGGAAGAACAAGUGCUAGUUGAAUAAGCUGGCACCUUGACGGUACCUAACCAGAAAGCCACGGCUAACUACGUGCCAGCAGCCGCGGUAAUACGUAGGUGGCAAGCGUUAUCCGGAAUUAUUGGGCGUAAAGCGCGCGCAGGUGGUUUCUUAAGUCUGAUGUGAAAGCCCACGGCUCAACCGUGGAGGGUCAUUGGAAACUGGGAGACUUGAGUGCAGAAGAGGAAAGUGGAAUUCCAUGUGUAGCGGUGAAAUGCGUAGAGAUAUGGAGGAACACCAGUGGCGAAGGCGACUUUCUGGUCUGUAACUGACACUGAGGCGCGAAAGCGUGGGGAGCAAACAGGAUUAGAU
rnacentral:rRNA from 1 species